ACGGCUUUUUAGAUCCGUUGCAUUAGUUGAGCAGAAGAAUCUAAUACAACGGCUAAAUAAGCUAAUGCAACGACAAAGAAAUUCAAUAAUACGGAGAGGCGCUGAAAAUUUCACUUAGUCCCUCUAAUUUUUUCCCCAAAUUUUGAACCUUCUACUACAUCACUGCCACACUUACAAGAUAAACCAAAAAGAAAAGAAACUCUCUUAUCCUCUCUCUCUCUCUCCUCCUUUCCCCAAUUCCUCAUUUUUUCUCAAUCUCAUGCUCCUACAAUGGCAGUCGCUGCUACUCAUUUCUUCGUCUACGCUUUAACCCUUCUAAAAUUUGCUCAUUAGUUUAUUAUUCAUAAGAAAUUUGGGUUGAGUUCUUUUUAUAAGUUUUCUCUUUUCUUUGUUUCCUUCUCUUCCACUCAAAUUCUUCUGAUUUCUACUAUUGCCCAAAUCUCAAGGAAAAUAUCGUUAUUUCUUCUCAUUUUAUGGGCUAUUAGCCCCAAUUUCAACUAGUAAAAUUGGUGCCCCUCUGUAGGCUACGAUGCUUCUUCUGAUUUCGGCUAGUUCUUUGUCACAUUUCUUUCUAACCACUUAUUUGAGGUGCAUGGGGAGCUAAAUGGAGCUGAAGUAUAGUAACUAGCUAGUCAUCUAACAAAUGGCGCAUAUAUGUUGGCGACUCUUAUUCAAGUUCAAGUUUGUGAAGAUUUGGAAAUUCCGGCUUAAAUAUAUGUUGAAAAUUUGUAUUUUGGAGGAUUAAAUUAAUUAUAUAACUUUUAUUUAUUAUUAGUAGGGUGUCAUACAAAAAACAAGCAACUAAUAUUUUAUAAUGUACGUAUUUAGCAUUAUAAUUAUUUUAUAUAAA